rnacentral:rRNA from 1 species
UACAGGGGGUGCAAACGUUGCUCGGAAUCAUUGGGCGUAAAGCGCACGUAGGCGGUUCGUUAUGUCGGAUGUGAAAGCCCUUGGCUUAACCGAGGAAGUGCAUCCGAAAACUGGCGAGCUUGAGUACGAAAGAGGAUCGCGGAAUUCCCGGUGUAGAGGUGAAAUUCGUAGAUAUCGGGAGGAACACCGGUGGCGAAGGCGGCGAUCUGGGUCGAUACUGACGCUGA